rnacentral:rRNA from 1 species
UGCAAGUGUAAGUACGAGCCCGAUCGUACGGCGAAACUGCGAAUGGCUCAUUAAAUCAGUUACGGUUCAUUUGAUCGUGCGGAAACCACCGGUACGUGGAUAACUGUGGUAAUUCUAGAGCUAAUACAUGCAAAGAGCGCCGACCCGUCGGCGACGGCGGGAAGGCGUGCAUUUAUCAGACCGCGCCGACCCCGGCGUUCGCGAGGGCGCCGGGUCCCGUGGUGACUCUGGAUAACUGAGCGGAUCGCGCGGCUCAAGCGCCGGCGACGGAUCAUUCGAGUGUCUGCCCUAUCAACUCGAGUCGGUACGGUCUCGGCCUACCGCGGUUCUUACGGGUGACGGGGAAUCGGGGUUCGAUUCCGGAGAGGGAGCCCGAGAAACGGCUACCACUUCCAAGGAAGGCAGCAGGCGCGCAAAUUACCCACUCCCGACGCGGGGAGGUAGUGACGAAAAAUAACGGCGCGGGACUCGAUUCGAGCGCCCGCGAUCGGAAUGAGCGAACUCCAAACCGGUCAGCCGCGCGAGGCGGCGAGCGAGUAUCGAUCGGAGGGCAAGUCUGGUGCCAGCAGCCGCGGUAAUUCCAGCUCCGAAAGUGUACGCUUAAGUUGUUGCGGUUAAAAAGCUCGUAGUUGGAACUCGGGCUUGGCCGGGCGCCGCCGCGCGGUGUCGCGAGACGCCGUCGGUACGGGCCCGGCCGGCCCUCGGGGGUCGGCCGGACGCUGCCCUUAACCGGGUGGCGUCGCGUCGUCGGCCCCGGGCUACUUUGAAAAAAUUGGAGCGUUCAAAGCGGGCCGCCCGAACGGCCGCGAACAGAGCAGCGCGGAAUAGCGGAAGAGGGCCGCGGCUCCGCCGGUCGGCGCCGAGAGCGACACGUCUUGCAUGCGGCAACGAUCGAGAGGGACGGACGGGGGCAUUCGUACCGCGCCGUUAGAGGUGAAAUUCUUGGAUCGGCGCGAGACGGACCGAGGCGAAGGCGUCUGCCAAGGACGUUUUCCUUAAUCAAGAGCGAGAGUCGGAGGUUCGAAGACGAUCAGAUACCGUCCUAGUUCCGACCGUAAACGAUGCCGACCGCGGGCCGGCGGGCGCGCGAACAGUCGGAAGCGCCGUCGGACCGUCGAAGGGAAACCGGAGCUCGCGGGUUCCGGGGGAAGUAUGGUCGCAAAGCUGAAACUUAAAGGAAUUGACGGAAGGGCACCACCAGGAGUGGAGCCUGCGGCUUAAUUCGACUCAACGCGGGGAAACUCACCCGGCCCUGACGCGGCGAGGAUUGACAGAUCGAGAGCUCUUUCUCGAUUCCGCGGGCGGUGGUGCAUGGCCGUUCUUAGUUGGUGGAUCGAUUUGUCUGGUUAAUUCCGAUAACGAACGAGACUCGAGUUUGCUAAGUAGACGGCGCCUUCCCUUCUAGGGAAGGCGCUUCAGACACGUCUCUUCUUAGAGGGACCGGCGGCGGGUUCUUCAGCCGCACGAGAUCGAGCGAUAACAGGUCUGUGAUGCCCUUAGAUGUUCGGGGCCGCACGCGCGCUACACUGGCCGGAGCAGAAGGCUGUCGUCGCCCGGCGCCCACAGCGCCGGGGAACCCUCGAAAGCCGGCCGUGAUCGGGACGGGGGCUUGCAAUUGUUUCCCCCGAACGAGGAAUUCCCAGUAGGCGCGAGUCAUCAUCUCGCGUCGAUUACGUCCCUGCCCUUUGUACACACCGCCCGUCGCUACUACCGAUCGAGCGUUUUAGCGAGGUCCUCGUAUCGGCCCUUUGGGUCUGCUUUCGGGCGGGUCCGAACGGGCCGAGAAGACGAUCGAACUCGAUCGCUUAGAGGAAGUAAAAGUCGUAACAAGGU